rnacentral:rRNA from 1 species
GGCGUAGGCGGCCUGUCAAGUCGGGAUGUGAAAUCUCCCGGCUCAACCGGGAGGGUGCGUUGGAAACUGAUGGGCUAGAGUGCAGUAGAGGAAAAGCGGAAUUCUCGGUGUAGUGGUGAAAUGCGUAGAUAUCGAGAAGAACACUAGUGGCGAAGGCGGCUUUCUGGGCUGUAACUGACGCUGAGGCCCGAAGGCGUGGGUAGCAACA